GCCCUGGUAGCUCAAUUGGUUAGAGCGUCGGACUUUUAUGAUCGUUCAUAAAUCGCACAUCCGAAGGCUGCGGGUUCGACCCCCGCCUGGGGCG